rnacentral:rRNA from 1 species
AAAUUGAAGAGUUUGAUCAUGGCUCAGAUUGAACGCUGGCGGCAGGCCUAACACAUGCAAGUCGAACGGUAACAGGAAACAGCUUGCUGUUUCGCUGACGAGUGGCGGACGGGUGAGUAAUGUCUGGGAAACUGCCUGAUGGAGGGGGAUAACUACUGGAAACGGUAGCUAAUACCGCAUAACGUCGCAAGACCAAAGAGGGGGACCUUCGGGCCUCUUGCCAUCGGAUGUGCCCAGAUGGGAUUAGCUAGUAGGUGGGGUAAUGGCUCACCUAGGCGACGAUCCCUAGCUGGUCUGAGAGGAUGACCAGCCACACUGGAACUGAGACACGGUCCAGACUCCUACGGGAGGCAGCAGUGGGGAAUAUUGCACAAUGGGCGCAAGCCUGAUGCAGCCAUGCCGCGUGUAUGAAGAAGGCCUUCGGGUUGUAAAGUACUUUCAGCGGGGAGGAAGGGAGUAAAGUUAAUACCUUUGCUCAUUGACGUUACCCGCAGAAGAAGCACCGGCUAACUCCGUGCCAGCAGCCGCGGUAAUACGGAGGGUGCAAGCGUUAAUCGGAAUUACUGGGCGUAAAGCGCACGCAGGCGGUUUGUUAAGUCAGAUGUGAAAUCCCCGGGCUCAACCUGGGAACUGCAUCUGAUACUGGCAAGCUUGAGUCUCGUAGAGGGGGGUAGAAUUCCAGGUGUAGCGGUGAAAUGCGUAGAGAUCUGGAGGAAUACCGGUGGCGAAGGCGGCCCCCUGGACGAAGACUGACGCUCAGGUGCGAAAGCGUGGGGAGCAAACAGGAUUAGAUACCCUGGUAGUCCACGCCGUAAACGAUGUCGACUUGGAGGUUGUGCCCUUGAGGCGUGGCUUCCGGAGCUAACGCGUUAAGUCGACCGCCUGGGGAGUACGGCCGCAAGGUUAAAACUCAAAUGAAUUGACGGGGGCCCGCACAAGCGGUGGAGCAUGUGGUUUAAUUCGAUGCAACGCGAAGAACCUUACCUGGUCUUGACAUCCACGGAAGUUUUCAGAGAUGAGAAUGUGCCUUCGGGAACCGUGAGACAGGUGCUGCAUGGCUGUCGUCAGCUCGUGUUGUGAAAUGUUGGGUUAAGUCCCGCAACGAGCGCAACCCUUAUCCUUUGUUGCCAGCGGUCCGGCCGGGAACUCAAAGGAGACUGCCAGUGAUAAACUGGAGGAAGGUGGGGAUGACGUCAAGUCAUCAUGGCCCUUACGACCAGGGCUACACACGUGCUACAAUGGCGCAUACAAAGAGAAGCGACCUCGCGAGAGCAAGCGGACCUCAUAAAGUGCGUCGUAGUCCGGAUUGGAGUCUGCAACUCGACUCCAUGAAGUCGGAAUCGCUAGUAAUCGUGGAUCAGAAUGCCACGGUGAAUACGUUCCCGGGCCUUGUACACACCGCCCGUCACACCAUGGGAGUGGGUUGCAAAAGAAGUAGGUAGCUUAACCUUCGGGAGGGCGCUUACCACUUUGUGAUUCAUGACUGGGGUGAAGUCGUAACAAGGUAACCGUAGGGGAACCUGCGGUUGGAUCACCUCCUUACCUUAAAGAAGC